GUGGAAAUGGGAACCGGAGCGAGAAGCGGGAUGGAGGGGGGUUGGAAACCAGAGACCCAAAGAGGUUUUCCCAACCCCUGGAAAAGUGAACAAGAAAUAUGCUCCUCCAAGAAGUAGUUGCAGUUGGAAGCAUACCACAGAAGAAACAGAACUCACCUAACCAAGAGACCUAACAAUGCAAAUGGAAAGAAAGAUUCUCUCUUUUAUAUUAUGCCAGAUGAAAGAGAUGGACAAGGCACACUUUAAAAGACCACAGUACAGAGGCAGGAGAAGCUGGAAGCAAAGAGGAAAGCCAGCAUCAUAUGAUCUGCCAGAUCUUCUACCUCGCAAGCAAGUGUUCCACAGGUCACCAGUAGCCCUCAGGUCACAGUUUGAAAGGCUCUGGUUUAAGUUCAUUAUAAUUUUGUAGGUAUAUAGAUGUGGAAUUUCCCUGUGCCAUACCUGAGGGAAGUGCAGUUUCAAAUCUGGG